rnacentral:lncRNA from 1 species
UUGGUGGUGGAAUCUGUUUCUCUAAUGAUUUUCUAACAAUAUGCAGGCAAACUACUUAUUCCUUCUUUUCGAAUGAUCUGCAAAAAGAUGUGCUCUUUCUAUCUGACGUCAUCAGACGUCGUAGCCUUUAUUCAUGCCGUCACAAUAAGAAAUUUAGAGGAAAGCAAGAAAAUUUGAUGUCAUAAUAGAAUUUUAACAAAUGAAAACUGAGAUCAAAC